GACGAACGCUGGCGGCGUGCCUAAUACAUGCAAGUCGAACGCUGAAGGAGGAGCUUGCUCUUCUGGAUGAGUUGCGAACGGGUGAGUAACGCGUAGGUAACCUGCCUGGUAGCGGGGGAUAACUCUUGGAAACGAUAGCUAAUACCGCAUAAAAUUGAUUAUUGCAUGAUAGUCAAUUAAAAGGUGCAAUUUCAUCACUACCAGAUGGACCUGCGUUGUAUUAGCAAGUUGGUGAGGUAACGGCUCACCAAGGCAACGAUUCAUAGUCGACCUGAGAGGGUGGUCGGCCAAACUGGGACUGAGACACGGCCCAGACUCCUACGGGAGGCAGCAGUAGGGGAUCUUCGGCAAUGGACGGAAGUCUGACCGAGCAAAGCCGCGUGAGGGAAGAAGGUUUUCGGAUCGGAAAGAUCCGUUGUAAGGGAAGAACGAGUGUGAGAGUGGAAAGUUCACACUGUGACGGUAGCUAAUCAGAAAGGGACGGCUAACUACGUG
rnacentral:rRNA from 1 species